AGUGAACGCUGGCGGUAGGCCUAACACAUGCAAGUCGAACGGAAGCACAGUAAGCGCUUGCUCUUACGGGUGGCGAGUGGCGGACGGGUGAGGCAUACAUCGGAAUCUACUUUUUCGUGAGGGAUAACGUAGGGAAACUUACGCUAAUACCGCAUACGACCUACGGGUGAAAGCAGGGGAUCUUCGGAGCUUUCGCGUCUGAUUUAGCCGAUGUCGGAUUAGCUAGUUGGCGGGGUAAAGGCCCACCAAGGCGACGAUCCGUAGCUGUUCUGAGAGGAUGAUCAGCCACACUGGAACUGAGACACGGUCCAGACUCCUACGGGAGGCAGCAGUAGGGAAUAUUGGACAAUGGGCGAAAGCCUGAUCCAGCCAUACCGCGUGGGUGAAGAAGGCCUUCGGGUUGUAAAGCCCUUUUGUUAGGAAAGAAAAGCAGCAUAUUAAUACCCCGCUGUUCUGACGGUACCCAAAGAAUAAGCACCGGCUAACUUCGUG
rnacentral:rRNA from 1 species